AUACGGGAGGCAGCAGUAGGGAAUCUUCGGCAAUGGACGAAAGUCUGACCGAGCAACGCCGCGUGAGUGAAGAAGGUUUUCGGAUCGUAAAACUCUGUUGUUAGAGAAGAACAAGGAUGAGAGUAGAACGUUCAUCCCAUGACGGUAUCUAACCAGAAAGCCACGGCUAACUACGUGCCAGCAGCCGCGGUAAUAAU
rnacentral:rRNA from 1 species